GCCUGGGUGGCUCAGUCGGUUGAGCGUCCGACUUCAGCUCAGGUCACGAUUUCGCGGUCCAUGAGUUCGAGCCCCAUGUCGGGCU
rnacentral:tRNA from 1 species